rnacentral:rRNA from 1 species
GACGAACGCUGGCGGCGUGCUUAACACAUGCAAGUCGAGCGGUAAGGCCCUUUCGGGGAUACACGAGCGGCGAACGGGUGAGUAACACGUGGGUGACCUGCCCUCAGCUCUGGGAUAAGCCUGGGAAACCGGGUCUAAUACUGGAUAUGACUCCAUGACGCAUGUUGUGGGGUGGAAAGCCUUGUGCGGCUGAGGAUGGGCCCGCGGCCUAUCAGCUUGUUGGUGGGGGAUGGCCUACCAAGGCGACGACGGGUAGCCGGCCUGAGAGGGCGACCGGCCACACUGGGACUGAGACACGGCCCAGACUCCUACGGGAGGCAGCAGUGGGGAAUCUUGCGCAAUGGGCGAAAGCCUGACGCAGCGACGCCGCGUGAGGGAUGACGGCCU